CAGUCGCAGCUUACAGAAGCAUCUAGUUACCCACUCUGGAAUUAAGGCAUACAGCUGUGACAUCUGUGGAAAAACUUUCAGCCAGAGAGGGCACCGAAAUACACACCUACGCAUUCACACCAGACAUGAUGUGUACUGCUGUGAACAGUGUGGCAAAUACUUUGCUACAGACGCACAGUUACAACAACACAUGUUUACCCACACUGAGGAGAGACCUUAUAAAUGUGACUUGUGUGAGAAGACUUUUAAAUCUCCACAUCACCUGAGACAACACCAACAGAUCCACACCAGAAAGAGACUCUACAAGUGCAGUUACUGUGAGAAGCGGAGCGACACAGAUGGAUCCAGUUCUCAACCCUGUCAUCACUGUGAUGGUGGGAAAGACUUUCGUUGUGACCUCUGUGGAAAAACUUUCAGUCAGCAAAAGAACCUAAAAAUACAUCAACGUAAACACACUGGAGACAAACUGAAAUACUGCAAAGAAUGUGGGAGAAGCUUCACCACAUCAAGUUACUUAAAACAACAUGAACUGAUUCACAGUGGGGUUAAAAAGCACCUCUGUGAUCAGUGUGGGUCAUCCUUCACCACUGUAAGUGAGCUUAAAAGACACAAACGAGUCCACACAGGAGAGAAACCA